UUUACCUUAAAAAACAAAAUCCCUACCUCUAUUUUAUCAAUACGGCUCCUAGGCCGUGCCUCUUAUAAUAAGGUUUAACUAAGCGU
rnacentral:sRNA from 1 species